CUACGUUUUGGGCUUAUUUGUUACGUGGCAACAGCCAACUCAUACAGUUCCCCAAGUGGUCGCAUUCCUGGGGUUCUAGGAGGAAGAAGGAAGGGAAGAUGGAAUUGGAAGAAUCAGUAGUCACUGCCACAUGUGCCUGCCUCACAGGACUGCAGUGAGGAUGAAACGAGAAGGAUCCCAGUUACUGGAUCAUGGCCCACCCUCAUCCAGGAUGAUCCCACCUUGACUUGAUUCUAUCAGCGAAGACCCUAUUUCCAAAUAAGGUGAACUUACUACUUUUCCAAAAUUUCAAAGUAAGUAGAAAUGUAGCAUCUUCAAAACAAAGCAUGUUUUAAAGUAGCAGCUUUGGCUUGAGUCUCACAUUGAGUCCCACUUCAGCCUCUCUUCGCGGUGUGACCUUGGGGAAGUUACUCAACGUCUCUGUUUCAUUUCCUCUAUCAAUGAAACAGGGGUAAUAAUAGCUCCGACCUUGGGCUGUUGGGAGGAUUACAUGAGAUCAACUGUGCCCAGGGCCUGGCAUGAAGUAGGCAAGCAACAAGAGUGAGUUGGUGGUGUCAGUGGGCUUCCAGAAAGCGCAUGAGUCUGGACUAGGACCCAGGUGGCAGCGUGUGAACCCCAGAGCCACUGGGAGCCCCUCCUUGGUCAGUCUGGCGUCUGUCUUCCCUCUGUGGCAGGGACCCUGGUCUGAUGGAAGCUACUCAUUAAGCACAGUGGAGUCUCUCCCCAUCCCCCUGCCACGCCCCAGCCCAUGGCUUAGGGCGGGCAGCAAGGGGAGCUCUGGUAGGCUGGAGUCCUGAGUGUGCAUCA